UACGUAGGGUGCAAGCGUUGUCCGGAUUUAUUGGGUUUAAAGGGUGCGUAGGUGGCUGAUUAAGUCAUGGGUGAAAGCCCGCAGCUCAACUGUGGAAUUGCCUGUGAUACUGAUUAGCUUGAGUGCGGUUGAGGCAGCUGGAAUUGGUGGUGUAGCGGUGAAAUGCAUAGAUACCGCCAGGAACACCGAUUGCGAAGGCAGGUUGCUAAGCCGUAACUGACACUGAGGCACGAAAGCGUCGGGAGCAAACAGG
rnacentral:rRNA from 1 species